AUACACUGCACAGGUGUUUGCAAUCAAUGAAAAAGUAGGAAAGAAGUAUGAUUUAUCAAAUUACUUCUCGGUGAAAGUUAGAUCCAUAGAUGGUUUUCAAGGUAGUGAGGAGGAUAUAAUUAUUUUCUCUACAGUAAGAUCUAAUAAACGGGUUCACUAGGCUUUCUCACAAAUGUUCAGAGGACAAAUGUGGCACUUACAAGAGCUAAACAUUGCUUGUGGAUAUUGGGAAAUGAGGAAACUUUAUGCAGAAAUGAAAACAUCUGGUCAGAACUAAUAUCUGAUGCAAAGAAACGAAGCUGCUUCCACAAUGCAGAUAAAGAUAGUGAUCUCUCGGAAACUAUUUUUAAAGCAUGCAUCGAGUCUGAUGAGCUUGACAACUUGUUGAAUAUGGAUUCACUACAAAUAAGCAAGACUAAGAAAAUAAGCUCCUAUCUUCCACCAAUUUUGGAAGUAUGUACUUGGAUUGGUGAUUAUAUGUCAUCCUCAACUGUGAUUUAAAAGUCGAAUUCUACUGAUUGAAAACUCCAGCAAAUGCAGGGGCAAGGUUGUGUACAUCAACCCCUACUAUAAUCUAGAGUUGGUGAGAAUUUCAUUCAAUUGGUUAUCCCUCCAAGGAUUUUUCCAUCCCCCUAGUAGUAGUCUUGUAUAGUAUAUAAAUCAGGAAGUUUUAUAACCUAUGGCAAUGAAAUGUGAAAUUGUUCUCUUUGUAAUUCUUAAUACUAACCUUUUCUUUUUGC